rnacentral:rRNA from 1 species
GGGUCAGUAGGUUGGUCGUGCCACCGGUACGUACUGGUCUCACUGAUUCCUCCUUCCUGAAGAACCGUAAUGCCAUUAAUUUGGUGUUGCGGGGAAACAGGACUGUUACUUUGAAAAAAUUAGAGUGUUUAAAGCAAGCUAACGCUUGAAUACAUUAGCAUGGAAUAAUGAAAUAGGACGAUCGAUCCUAUUUUGUUGGUUCCUAGGAUUGAUGUA